rnacentral:lncRNA from 1 species
UCUUGGCAGCUCUUUGGGAGAUUGAAGAAGACCAUGAAGCUCUAAGUGCUUCAGAGGAAUGGGGUUGCCAAAACAGAUGUGAGAGGCCCAGAGAGGAGGCUGGGCCAAUGCUGAAGGUAUUAUUUUGGGGCUGAGUGCAGAAAUAAGAGACGCGUGCUAAAAGGUCAUCAGUUUAGAACCAGCCCUAGAUCUCCUGGGAUCCUGCCCAGCUGAAUCUUCCUCCUUGUAACAUGGGCUUUGGGAAUUUGUGAGAGAUUUAAAU